AUGAACGCUGGCGGCGUGCCUAAUACAUGCAAGUCGAGCGAACAGACGAGAAGCUUGCCUCUCUGAUGUUAGCGGCGGACGGGGGAGUAACACGUGGAUAACCUACCUAUAAGACUGGGAUAACUUCGGGAAACCGUAGCUAAUACCGGAUAAUAUUUUGAACCGCAUGGUUCAAAAGUGAAAGACGGUCUUGCUGUCACUUAUAGAUGGAUCCGCGCUGCAUUAGCUAGUUGGUAAGGUAACGGCUUACCAAGGCAACGAUGCAUAGCCGACCUGAGAGGGUGAUCGGCCACACUGGAACUGAGACACGGUCCAGACUCCUACGGGAGGCAGCAGUAGGGAAUCUUCCGCAAUGGGCGAAAGCCUGACGGAGCAACGCCGCGUGAGUGAUGAAGGUCUUCGGAUCGUAAAACUCUGUUAUUAGGGAAGAACAUAUGUGUAAGUAACUGUGCACAUCUUGACGGUACCUAAUCAGAAAGCCACGGCUAACUACGUG
rnacentral:rRNA from 1 species